UGGGUGUUAUCGAAUAAUUUCAGUGACUAUGGGAGGGUUACUGUUUCGGGCUAUAACUUUAGGCAGACUCCUCUUGCCGAUGUCGAGAGGGCGUUGAGAGAACAUUUCACUUCAUGUGGAGAGAUCACGGAUGUAUGUGUUCACAUGAGAAUUGGUUAUAUAUAUUUUAUGGGAGAAGGCGCAGUCGAUAAGGCCAUGCAACUUAAUGGAAGUGAUGUGGGAGGAUGGAAUGUCUCUGUUGAGCCUUUUCCGUUUCCCGAACAUGCAAACGAUAGCGUUGUGGUAAGAGUUGAAGGAUAUGACACUUCCCUUAGUAAGAUUGAUAUCCAGAGCGCUUUGAGUAAUCUGUUCUCUUCAUAUGGAGAGAUCGAGUGCCUCAUUAUU